GUGUUCACUUCAUCAGCACAUACACUAAAAUUAAAAUGAUAGAGAGAAGAUUAGCAUGGGCCCUGUAUGAUGAUGACAUGCAAAUUUGUGAAGCAUUCCAUGCUUUU